AACGUAGGUGGCGAGCGUUAUCCGGAUUUACUGGGCGUAAAGAGCGUGUAGGCGGCCAAGCAGGUCCGUUGUGAAAACUGGAGGCUUAACCUCCAGACGUCGACGGAAACCGCGUGGCUAGAGUCCGGAAGAGGAGACUGGAAUUCAUGGUGUAGCGGUGAAAUGCGCAGAUAUCAGGAAGAACACCCGUGGCGAAGGCGGUUCUCUGGGACGGUACUGACGCUGAGACGCGAAAGCGUGGGGAGCGAACAGG
rnacentral:rRNA from 1 species